AAUAUUUUUCAUUAUUUGGAGCAUCAAAUGUCUUUUGGUAGAAAUAAUUUUCCUGACUACAAUUUUUGUGGCUUUCUUGCAUAGUUUCAUUGUAUGCUAAAGUGAGAAAGUAGAAGAAAAAUAAACAUUUUCUAUUGCAGUUAUUAUAUGCAACAGUGGCCUAAUUACGUUUUGCCAGAUGGGAAAGGUAAGUCAGAUUGGAAACAGCUGCCAAGUAUUUCUUGGGUCCCAACUAAAUCGGAGUGGCCAGGGUCAUGUGUAAUGCUGAGCAAGCCAUAAUAAUCUGGUUUGUACAGUACUAAGCCAUAAUCAUUUGUCUCUCAUAUCACUCCUAGCCAAAAUGAAAUGUCUCAAAUAAGUUCAAAGCCAUUGUAUAUUGGAGAGGUGAACUCUGUCUUAUGAUAAGCAUCUUCCUUGCAGUAAAUUUGAUGUGAUAAGACACUUUUGGGAAGCAAAGUCUUGAAAAUGCUGGUUAACAGCUUUCCAAACUCUGUGCUCUCAAGGAUGUCCUGCCUAGCAUGGUAAUCAUAAUUAUAAUAUUUCAAGAUAGAAUGUUAACACUGAUAUACAUUUAUUUGUUUAUUAUUGUUGAAUUGUAUAUUUUUAUUCUACUGGUAGCUUUGUAUUUUGUGAACUAUUGUGAAAUUUUUGGAAUAUUUAUGAGUUCGACACAAAUACAAAACUUUAGAGUAAUCCAUCUGUUUAGGACAAAUAAGGAAGGAAGUAUGAAUUUUUCAAUGGUACUUAGAACCAACUGUAAAAAAAAUAGUGUUUUUCCUCCACCAUGCACUUUGGUAAAGAAAUCUGCGUAGGCAGAAAUCAAUAUUUAAAAUUGUAUGAGCACUCAUGCUCAUAUGAUUCAUGUUUUCCUCUGGAAAUGACAUAGAACAAUGUAUAUAGAACUUGUACUAAAGUUACAACGCAGAGUUGACAUUGACAUUUCAAUUACAGAUAAUAUACGAUCAUAUAUUUUAGUAAAAUGCAAGCGGAACAUUGAAAUUGUUUACCCUUUUUGUAGUCAGUUUUCUCUAUUAAAUUGCCUUAUAUUGUCCUGUUCCUGUUUUUUUUUUAGUAAGAAUCUUUGAUAAAGGUUUUUGCAUCAAAUACUUUGUUAAUUGGAACUCAAUCUAUCCUGUAUUUUAUUUUCAAGUUUGUUUUCCUUUUCUUUGUAACCUUCAAUUUUUCAAUAGAACGUCUACCGUUUCCUACAUUAUUUGCAUAUCACUGUUCCGCCUUUACCUGAAAGAAAUUUCUGAAGUGUUAGAACAUAACCAUCCCAGGAAGACUGCUGAGAAAUGUUAUAAUAAAUUUCCAAUCCUUUUUCUCCAUA